GGGCUGUCUUCCCGUUGCAAAAUCGGCAUGAGUUUUGUUGUUGAUGAUGUUGUCGUUUUAAAGAAAAAGAAAGCAAUUUGAUUUUUUGGCAGAUACUCACCAUUACUUUCUCAGUAAUCUGAUAAAAUUCCAUCCAUCUACCUUCCCAAAAGGGAAUCUUGAGGUAAACUUUCAACUUUUCUUUUUGAAACAGGCUUAAACAAAUGCAUUCAGUUUUGGGAAACAGAUCUUCCUCUGGGCAAGGCAGGCUGAGCUACAUUCCUACGUUUCUCAUGCUGCAGUGAGAAAAGUUCAUGAAUGUAAGGGAAUGCUUUUCCAAAGUUAUCUGUGAAGGGAAAGGAAUAAUUACUUCUGUGUGAUUCAAACCUGGGCACCAUCCAGGUUCCCAAUUAGCUGUGAGAACAGUGCCUGCUAUUGUGUCUCAAGUUUACCUUGAAUUUUCCAAAGAAACAUUCUUUCUGAUCACUGUGAAUAUCAGAAAAUAGGAGCCCUCACAUUCUUCUUUCUUGUAUUGAAGCAAAAGAGGCCCAGAGGACUGCCAGAGAGGUUCAGAGGAGAACAACUGCUGUGCAAGAGGCUCCUGUAACAAGAUCAGCCUAGAAGUUCCUUCCCAGAGAAAGCAAAAUGAUCAAAAAAGGAGAAGUUGGGAACAAAAUUUGACUAGACUAGGCCCUUUAAGUUUAUUUCCAUUCCACAAGGUGGCAGUAAAUACAUUCCUAAGGCUAUCUGCUUGGGAGAAGAAUGAAAUGGCAAAGUAUUAUUUAGUCUCUGUGCUGGGAGAACUGAUGCUGCUGAAACCAGAGUAAACACAUUUAAGGAUCAAUCGAGCAUCAUUCAUGAGAAUUUCCUUCUCCAAACCCCUUCCUUAACUCUCAGGAAGGAAAUGACAAUGGGACCUUGAACUGGAGACCCCAGAACCUGCUUUUUCUCUACUACAAUCUUGAGGUUUUAUUAAAAUUAGAUAAUAAGCAAGCCAUCCUGUUAGCUGUCAAGGCUGAAAAUACAAUCAACUGAAAGAUAAGUUGGACAAAAAGAAAUUCAGAAACAGUGUCCUUACAGCAAAUGGCCAUAGAAUGGCCCAGUGACAAUAAUAUUAGUUUACUUAGAUGUUUACCUUUAAAGAUAAAUUCAUUGAUAAUUUGGAGACAGCAUAUUAGAGUAGUUAGAUUAGAACAUCUUCAAAUGUCAAUCUUUUGGUUUCUGUAUGCUAUGAUUUGAAUGUCUCCUCCAAAAUUCAUGUUGAAAUGUAAUCUCCAAUGUGGUAGUAUUGAGAGGUGUGGCCUUUAGGUGGUGCCUGGAUUUAUUCAUGGAUCAAUGAGCUGUCAUUAAAGUGGGAAUGGUAGCUUAGUAAGAAGAGGAAGAGAGAUGGGAGCUAGCAUGCUCAGCCCCCUCACGAUGUGAUGCCCUGUGCAGCCUCGGGCCUCUGCAAAGAGUCCUCACUGAUUCCCUGCCCCCAGGAGGCAGGGAAACUCUGGGCAGAAGAGGGUGGGGCCCUUGCGGGGGACCCACCCUCAAGCCGAAAAGCCUGAAACUGCUGCCCAAAGAACUCAGGUGGCAGAGAGGAGAAGCAGCUGGACAUCGGAGACUAUGGCUGGACAUUGGAGAGAAGUGGUUUGACUUCAGAGGGACAGCUUGACAGUGAAGAAUUCGGCCAGAGAUAGCUGGACUUCAGGGGAAGAUGAUCUUUCCGCCUCAUCCCCCUUUCAGCUCCCCUUCCUGCUGAGAGACACUUUAAUCGGCAAUAAAAUCCCCCAUGUUUACCAUCCUUCAAUUCGUUUGUGUGACCUCAUUUCUCCUGGAUGCUGGACAA
rnacentral:lncRNA from 10 species